CCUGGUUUACCAUGAAUGACACAUAACUCUUGGCCCAUGCUAGACAGCCUCAAACUACCAGACGGAAAGCUUACCAACAGCUCAUUCAAGCCCAGUUCAGGAAAAAAAAAAAAAAAAGUAACACUGGAACCUGACGCAAGGAGUCAAGCACUCCGCUCUCUAUGAAACAGUGACUACCACCCAGCACAGGUUUUAAAGCGACAACCUCCCCGGUACUCUCGAUCUCACUUUUUUUUUUGCAGGAGCUGGGAUUCCCGACCAAGCUUUACACCCCUAACUCCCAGUAAGGCAAACCGAAGAACUAGCUCACAACCCUCUCAUAACACUGACAGACACAGGACCAGAAUUCUACAUAUAACGAGUCAAGUCUCAGUUUUGAAAAUAUGCAGAUGAAUAUGUCGAUGUAAGGGGUG
rnacentral:lncRNA from 1 species